rnacentral:lncRNA from 1 species
CCAACUUUUCCAAAGGGACAGCUAGCUUUUACAACUAAAUGGACGAUGAAAGAAAACAAAAAUGGAAAAUCUCGAAGGCUCCUCAAUACAAUUGGAAUAGAAAGAAUGCAGCAGCCCACCUCACCCACCAAACUCUGAAUUCUUUCUUUCUGCUAAGGAAUGGAGCUAAAAGAGAGGCCACAAACUGCACAAAAGCUGUACCCAGGCUCAUAUUUCUGCUCCUAUCCUGUGGAGUCGGGAAGAAUGGCAGAUCUGAAGGAUGGCCAGGGGCAUGAUGACUUGAGGAAAAAACACACAGAAACCGUGUUCCAGCA